rnacentral:lncRNA from 1 species
AAUAUUACUCUUUUUUGUUCGUACAAACACAUGAAUAUUACUAAUCGGUGAAAAGCAAAAUGCAAUGAUUCGACUAGUCGGUGAAACUCAUUAUAUCCUGAUCAUUUAUGAUUGGAAUCGUAAGAAACAUUGCAAAAACAAUCAGAUUAUUGUUACUGAAAAAAGAGAGAAGCAUACUAUGAUCAUACUCGUUUUCUUGUCUGCAACAUGUUUGCAGGCUGUCUAAACCUCACUUAAGAUGUUUCGAUUGAUAACCACGUUGUCUCCGCUUCGAUUUACCGCUUGUUUUCGCCUCGUUCUUCACUUCCUUGCAUGAACCAUGCUUGUGAUGAGCAUUGCCAUGACUCCCUUUACAUUCACCGUCCUCGUGUUUAUACCGAUGCUUACUAGGACUGGAC